rnacentral:ncRNA from 1 species
AAUGGCUAGAGUGGGGAUGGUUACCCGCUGGUCUAGAUACGGUUCAAUAAUGAAACGGUAUUUUUUUACCAUUAAGUUUGUUGCUGAUCACAACAAACUCUCAACGUCCUAAACAGCACAAUAAACCGGACCCUAUCGCACCACGAGUUGCUGUCUACGAGUCGGGUUGUUUGGGAAUGCAGCCCCAAUCGGGCGGUAAAUUCCGUCCAGGGCUAAAUAUGGGCGAGAGACCGAUAGCGAACAAGUACCGCGAGGUAAAGAUGGAAAGGACUUUGAAAAGAGAUUCAAAGAGUGCUUGAAAUUGUCGGGAGGGAAGCGGAUGGGGGCCGGCGAUUCAUCCCGGUCAGAUGCAGAACGGAGCAAUCCGGUCCGCCGAUCGAUUCGGGUCGUGGACCGACACGGAUUAAGGUGGUGACCUAAGCCUGGGCUUUUGUUACGCCCGCGGAGACGUCGCUGCCUUAAUCGUGGUCUGCAGCACGCGCCUCACGGCGUGCCUCGGCAUCUGUGUGCUCAGGGCGUCGGCCUCUGGGCUCCCCAUUCGACCCGUCUUGAAACACGGACCAAGGAGUCUGACAUGUGUGCGAGUCAACAGGUGAGUAAACCCGUAUGGUGCAAGGAAUCUGAUUGGCUGGAUCCCUCACGGGUGCACAGCCGACCGACCUUGAUCUUCUGAGAAGGGUUCGAGUGUGAGCAUGCCUAUCGGGACCCGAAAGAUGGUGAACUAUGCCUGAGCGGGGGGAUGCCAGAGGAAACUCUGGUGGAGGCCCGCAACGAUACUGACGUGCAAAUCGUUCGUCUGACUUGGGUAUAGGGGCGAAAGACUAAUCGAACCAUCUAGUAGCUGGUUCCCUCCGAAGUUUCCCUCAGGAUAGCUGGAGCUCGGAAACGAGUUCUAUCGGGUAAAGCUAAUGAUUAGAGGCAUCGGGGAUGCAAUGUCCUCGACCUAUUCUCAAACUUUAAAUAGGUAGGACGGGGUGGCUGCUUUGUUGAGCCAUCCCACGGAAUCGAUAGCUCCAAGUGGGCCAUUUUUGGUAAGCAGAACUGGCGAUGCGGGAUGAACCGGAAGCCGGGUUACGGUGCCCAACUGUGCGCUAACCUAGAACUCACAAAGGGUGUUGGUCGAUUAAGACAGCAGGACGGUGGUCAUGGAAGUCGAAAUCCGCUAAGGAGUGUGUAACAAUUCACCUGCCGAAUCAACUAGCCCCGAAAAUGGAUUUCGCUGAAGCGCGAGACCUAUACCUGGCCGUCGGGGCAAGGGUCAGGCCUCGAUGAGUAGGAGGGCGCGAGCCCGGGCGGAGCGGCCGUCGGUGCACAUCUUGGUGGUAAUAGCAAAUAUUCAAAUGAGAACUUUGAAGGCCGUAGAGGGGAAAUGUUCCAUGUGAACGACACUUGCACAUGGGUUAGUCAAUCCUAAGAGUCGGGGGAAACCCAUCUGAUAGCGCUUAUGCGUGAACUUCGAAAGGGGAUCCGGUUAAAAUUCUGGAACCGGGAUGUGGCGGUUGACGGCAACGUUAGGGAGUCCGGAGACGUCGGCGGGAAUUCCGGAAAGAGUUAUAUUUUCUGUUUAACAGCCUGCCCACCCUGGAAACGGCUCAGCCGGAGGUAUGGUCCAGCGGCUGGAAGAGCACCGCAC